AUAGCUCACUGCAGCUUCAAACUCCUGGGCUCAGGGAGGCUCCUUCUGCCUCAGCCUCUUGAGUAGCAGGAACUACAGGCAUGUGCCAAUGUGCCACAGUGCUUUGCGAAUUUUCUUUCCUUUUUUUUUUUUUUUUUUNUCAGAGAUGGAGUCUUUCUGUGUUUCUCAGGCUGGUUUCAAACUCCUGGCCUCAUACAAUCCUCCUGCCUCAGCCUCUAGACUAGCCAGAUUGCAAGCACAAACUACCAAGCCCUGAUCAAGUGUGUAUCUUCUACAGCCAGUCCUCCAUCUCAUUUGGAUUUUUCUGACUUUAUGAGAUAUUUUCUUAGCUGCCCUGACUCCAGUUUUCCCUGUUUCCAGAAGAGUUUUACAUAGGACAUUCAAUGUCUUGUAACACUAACCUCCCCCUCCAAGGCAGCACAGCACAAAGGCUGUGAGAUAGCUCAAGUGCCACUUCUAUCUGAAAGCCACUCCAUGAUCAUCCCUGUCGGAGACCAUCUAGGCCUCCUUGAAAAUUGUAUUGCUCUUUGUUACUGUCCUAUGGGACUUAUGGACUAUGUGACAAGAAUGUCACAUUUUUGUUCCAUUUUUUGUUUUCCUAAAUUUUAAGCUCACUUCUGAAAUGCUUUCCUUUCUCCCUUCUACAUAAG
rnacentral:lncRNA from 1 species